GAUGAACGCUGGCGGCGUGCUUAACACAUGCAAGUCGAACGAUGAAGCCCAGCUUGCUGGGUGGGUUCGUGGCGAACGGGUGUGUAACACGUGAGUAACCUGCCCCUAACUCUGGGAUAAGCCUGGGGAACUGGGUCUCAUACCGGAUAGGAGCGUCCACCGCACGGUGGGUGUUGGAGAGAUUUAUCGGUUUUGGAUGGACUCGCGGCCUAUCAGCUUGUUGGUGAGGUAAUGGCUCACCAAGGCGACGACGGGUAGCCGGCCUGAGAGGGUGACCGGCCACACUGGGACUGAGACACGGCCCAGACUCCUACGGGAGGCAGCAGUGGGGAAUAUUGCACAAUGGGCGGAAGCCUGAUGCAGCGACGCCGCGUGAGGGAUGACGGCCUUCGGGUUGUAAACCGCUUUCGGUAGGGAAGAAGCGAAAGUGACGGUACCUGCAGAAGAAGCACCGGCUAACUACGUG
rnacentral:rRNA from 1 species